UACCUGCAGCUCAAGUGGUGGCCGCUAUUAUUGGGCCUAAAACGUUCGUAGCCGGCUGAGUAAAUGCUUGGGUAAAUCGUGCCGCUUAACGGUACGAAUUCCGGGUAGACUGCUCAACUUGAGACCGGGAGAAGCUAGAGGUACUCCUGGGGUAGAGGUGAAAUUCUGUAAUCCUGGGGGGACCACCAGUGGCGAAGGCGUCUAGCUAGAACGGGUCUGACGGUGAGGGACGAAACCCUGGGGCGCAAACCGGAUUAGAUACCCGGGUAGUCCAGGGCGCAAACGCUGCUUGCUUGAUGUUAGCUGGGCUCCGGGCUCAGCUAGUGUCGGAGAGAAGUUGUUAAGCAAGCUGCCUGGGAAUACGAUCGCAAGAUUGAAACUUAAAGGAAUUGGGCGGGGAGCACAGCAACGGGUGGGGCGUGCGGUUU
rnacentral:rRNA from 1 species